AAUAUAUAUAAUGCUUUCAUCCUUGUUACAGCAAAACAACAAAAUACAGUCACACCAAACAAUCCAAAACAAGGUUCGUUCUUUUUCCCAUACUAUAAACCUUGCAUUUUCUUACCAUCUGCACUAAGAUAAAAACUGGACUUAGAACUCAAAUUCCUAGACCACAACAAGAACUUUGGCAUAAUCUUGCUAUAGAGAGACUUCCUUGAACAAAUAAAAGAAAUGAAAGAGAAAGAAGAAGCAAAGAAUCGAAUCUGCACCAAAACCUUCUAUAAGAUUCAAUUUUUCUUCAAAAUUCUAUCUUCCUUUGAGAACAAACCUUUCUUCUUCCUUUGGACUGGGUUUGGAUCGUCGGAAAGAGAGAUUUCCGUCCCCUUUGAUGGUGGCCGGAGAGAAGGAGGUCUU
rnacentral:lncRNA from 1 species